CCUACGGGUGGCAGCAGUGGGGAAUAUUGCGCAAUGGGCGAAAGCCUGACGCAGCGACGCCGCGUGAGGGAUGAAGGUCUUCGGAUCGUAAACCUCUGUCAGCAGGGAAGAACGGUCACUUUGCUAAUCAGCAGUGAAUUGACGGUACCUGCAAACGAAGCACCGGCUAACUCCGUGCCAGCAGCCGCGGUAAUACGGAGGGUGCGAGCGUUAAUCGGAAUUACUGGGCGUAAAGCGCUCGUAGGCGGUAUGUCAAGUCAAGGGUGAAAUCCCCGCGCUCAACGUGGGAACUGCCUUUGAUACUGGCAAACUGGAGUGUGUGAGAGGAUAGUGGAAUUCCAGGUGUAGGAGUGAAAUCCGUAGAUAUCUGGAGGAACAUCAGUGGCGAAGGCGACUAUCUGGAACAUAACUGACGCUGAGGAGCGAAAGCGUGGGUAGCAAACAGGAUUAGAUACCCGGGUAGUC
rnacentral:rRNA from 1 species